CAUGUUCUGAAAACUGGAACGAUACAGAGAAGAUUAGCAUGGCCCCUGCGCAAGGAUGACACGCAAAUCGGUGAAGCGUUCAUAAUUU
rnacentral:snRNA from 1 species